AGCUGUCAAAUCAGCUGAGGCUUAUAAAAACACAAGCAAAAAUUGUUAAAGUGGAUUUUGCCAGACCAAAAUGAACAAUUUACCAACUAUUUUGGCUGUUGUACAACAGCAAAAUCUUAAGUUGAAUCAGCUUUUAUUGGCAGCCAAUUCAGAGGAGUGGAAUGACGACGAAUUGGAUUUGUACGAAAGCAUUUUUUCUGCAAAAGAGCAAAUGCCACGAAGUGUGUGGAUGCUGAAACGAUACGGGACAUUUUGGGAGAAGGAUAUACCGGAAAACAACGACGAGUUCUUCAAAGAGAGCUUUCGUAUGGAGAAGGAGAUCUUUACGUUUUUGGUGGACCGACUUGGUGUUUUGCGGAAGAAGGACACCAGCUGGCGAAAUGCCAUUCCUCUUGAAAGGCGGAUUUCUAUAGCCUUGUACACCUUGGGAUCAUCAGCAGAAUAUCGUUCCAAGGCUUUUUGGAGUUGCACAGAACACUGUGUGCAAAAUUCUCCACGAAUUUUGCCGUGCACUCAUUUUUGAGUUUGCCAGCGAGUUCAUGUCACCGGACUAUCUUACUCCAGAAAAAGUGGACGAGUGUGUCAAAGGAUUCGAAGCAAUCGGAUUUCCCCAGUGUCUAGGUGCAAUUGUGGUUGUCACAUCGAAAUAAAACCGUCAGCAGCAGAAGCAGUCGAUCACCACAACUACAAAGGCUGGUACUCAAUACUACUAUUCGCUCUCGUGGAUUACAGAUACAGAUUUACCUAUGUAAACAUCGGCUCUGCUGGGCGCUGCAACGUCUCCAUUAUAUUUCAAAAGUCGAGCCUGGCAAGGAAAAUGGUGUCUUCUUCGUUUCUUCACGAAAUAAACAAGGGAAAUUUGUGGCGUUCAAGGUCCGGUGCUGCUUAUUGGGGACUCUGCCUUUAGAUUUUCCCAAACGCUGAGGAAGCCGUACCCAUUUUCCACAACUGCAUCUGAAGAACAGCGAAAUCUUAACUACAAUCUGUCUAAAGCUAGGCGAGUGGUAGAAAAUGCAUUUGGCCAUUUGGUUUAUUGGGAAAGGUCUUGACAGCCACUACAAGAAUAAUAAUGAAGCCAUUCUAGCCUGCUGCAUUUUGCACAACAUUUUAAAUGAGCACAACAGCGCUAUAAAUGAAACUUGGCAACAGGCUGCAAAUGACCUACGCGAACAACCAAAUCGGACUAAUAUGUCUGCAGGUUUUAGCCAACCUGCAGAAAAAAUAAGAGCAGCUAUUUCCCAAUAUUGUCUAAAUGGUAACAAACAAAGUUCAUAAAAUCACUGUGGACGGCAGUACACGUAGUGGCGAA